CCCGUGGGAGCGCACUGACCACUAGGGAGCAGCUCCUGUGUUGAGCAUCUGCCCCCUUGUGGUCAGUGAGCAUUACAGCGACCCGUCAUUCUGAUCUUUUCACUAUAAUGGUCGCUUAGGUUUUUAUGAUAUAGAUUUCAUGUUGUUAUAGUGAAGUGAAGGCAUCUAAAAUAUUUCAAAAACAGUUAACUGUCUUCACUAUUUCAACACUUCUUCAAUUACCUCCACAUAUUAUUCAUGCAAUUAGCUUGAUUUAGCAACCCCUAAAAAUUUAGAGAACAUUUUUGCCUCAAACUUAGCUAGAAUUUUCACAAAUCACAAAUAACCUGAUCACAAUUAAUAAACUUAAUUACAAUUAAAGACUUCCUAUGAUUGUUAAUUUGGCUAGUAUUCAGCUAACAGUAUCAAGGUUUAAAAUUCCAAUAUACAGUAUUAAAAAAAACAAAACCUGUUUAGCUUUAAAAAUUCUUUUUGCUUACAUUUGAGGCUCAUUUUGAUUUUAAUAUAUAUCAAUUAACUUGCCUUAGUGAUUACCUAGAAUUAUCUUGGUCAUGUAAAUUUCAUAUCAAACUCAGUAAGUCUUAAAUUUUCAUAUAUAAAUAUUGAUUUCAGAGAGGAAUGGAGAAGGAGAGAAAGGUAGAAACAUCAGUGAUGAGAGAGGAUCCUUGAUCGGCUGCCUCCUGCAGGCUCCCCACUGGGGUCUGAGCCCCCACCUCGGGCAUGUGCCCUUGGCUGGAAUCGAACCCUGGGCCCUUCAGUCCACAGGCUGACACUCUAUCCACUGAGCCAAACCUGCUAGUGCAAAUUUUCCUUUUUUAAUAAUAUAAAUAUCUCAUCAUGCUUAUUAUAUUAUUGCAUUUAAGUACUGAAAAUUAUUACUGUGUAGCAUUUCUAUUGAUUGAUUAAUUGACUGUCUCCUCAACUUUUAGUUUGAUUUGCAAAAUGGUAUAAUAUACACUUAUAUACCUUUACCUGUAUUCACCAAUUACUAACUGCCAAAUUUUUUCACUUGCUCUCAUUUUCACUCUUUCUCUCCAUGUGUAUUUCCCCUUUAUAACAUUUGACAGUUGCUUGCAAACAUAAACUAACAUUUUAGCAAAUAUCUUUAAGGACAAAGGCUUUUCUUACAUACUCAUAAUACAAUAAUCACUCUCAGGAAAUUUAAUAUUAACAUAAUACUGUUAUCUAGUAUGUAGUAAUACUUACAUUUUUCCAGUGUCUGAAAGAACAUUUUCCAUAAUUUCUUAAAUUUCAGGAUCCAUUCAGAGAUUGCAUAUUGCCGUUGAUUGUCAUGUUUUUCUAUCUCUUCUUUAAAUUGGAGAACUCCUCCCAGCCAUUUUGUCUUUCAUGAUAUUGACAUUCAUUUUUGGGUCAUGCAUGAAUUUUUUCCUGCCACAGCUUAAGUGAGGUUUUGAAAUAAUAACUGACAUGGGAAUUUAAAUAGAAGUUUUUUUUUU